rnacentral:rRNA from 1 species
GGAGUAUGGACCGUGUCUCAGUUCCAUUGUGGCCGUUCAUCCUCUCAGACCGGCUACCGAUCGUCGGUUUGGUGGGCUCUUACCCCGCCAACUGCCUAAUCGGACGCAGGCUCCUCGCAAAGCGAUAAAUCUUUAGUGUAACCAUCAUGCGACAAUCACACAACAUUCGGUAUUAGCGCCCCUUUCGGAACGUUGUCCCCAUCUUUGCGGCAGAUUACCUGCGCUUUACUCACCCGUUCGCCACUAGCACCGAAGUGCCCGUUCGACUUGCAUGUGUUAAGCACGCCGCCAGCGUUCGUCCUCGAGCCACUGAUCAAACUACU